GACGAACGCUGGCGGCGUGCUUAACACAUGCAAGUCGAGCGAUGAAGCACCUUCGGGUGUGAAUUAGCGGCGAACGGGUGAGGAACACGUGAGAAAUCUGCCUUCAACACUGGGAUAACUCCGGGAAACCGGGGCUAAUACCGGAUAUGAAAUCUGCGGGCAUCCGCGGAUUUGGAAAGUUUUUCGGUUGAAGAUGAUCUCGCGGCCUAUCAGCUUGUUGGUGAGGUAAUGGCUCACCAAGGCGACGACGGGUAGCCGGCCUGAGAGGGCGACCGGCCACACUGGGACUGAGACACGGCCCAGACUCCUACGGGAGGCAGCAGUGGGGAAUAUUGGGCAAUGGAGGAAACUCUGACCCAGCGACGCCGCGUGAGGGAUGAAGGCC
rnacentral:rRNA from 1 species